rnacentral:rRNA from 1 species
AGCAGCCGCGGUAAUUCCAGCUCCAAUAGCGUAUAUUAAAGUUGUUGCGGUUAAAAAGCUCGUAGUUGGAUCUCAGUUCGUGCCUAUUGGUCCUCCUCUGAAAGGUGGCCACUGAUAGUUGCCGGACAGCUUAUCGAUUAGUGUUUUCCCGAGAGGGGGCACUCGUAAGGUCCCAUGGUGCUCUUUACCGGGUGUCAUGGGCGAUCGAUACGUUUACUUUGAAAAAAU